rnacentral:rRNA from 1 species
UACGUAGGCAGCGAGCGUUGUUCGGAAUUACUGGGCGUAAAGGGCGCGUAGGCGGUCUUCUAAGUCCUGUGUGAAAUCCCUCGGCUCAACUGAGGAACUGCACGGGAUACUGGAAGACUUGAGUUCGGGAGAGGGAAGCGGAAUUCCGGGUGUAGCGGUGAAAUGCGUAGAGAUCGGGAGGAACACCCGCGGCGAAGGCGGCCACCUGGACCAGACCUGACGCUGAGGCGCGAAGGCCGGGGGAGCGAACGGG